UGCGGUACGGAGUGGAUGUGUUUUUGUCACAACAGAGCAAAUUUCCUUCACGCAAAACAUUGUCUCGAAAUUAAAAGUAAAAAAAGUGUUUGUCAAAUCCAUCGCGCAGCACAAUUUCAUGUGCAUCCGUUGUGUCGUCUCGUAAUUUUCUGUUCGCGACACCGUUAAAAAUCCGAGAAAAAUGGAAGAAUUCGCCUUGUGCUGGAACAACUUUCAGGAGAACCUCGCGAGCGGCUUUCAGAAUCUCCUCGAUCGCGGAGAUCUCGUCGAUGUCACAAUUGCCGUCGAAAAUCGCCUCAUCCAGGCACACAAAAUCGUCCUUGCCAUCUGUUCGCCAUACUUCCAGGAGAUGUUUCAACAGAACCCGUGCAAGCAUCCGAUAAUCAUCCUGAAAGAUGUCAGUUACUCCGUGAUGUCUGAACUUUUGCAGUUCAUGUAUCAAGGCGAAGUGAAUGUCAAGCACAUCGAAUUGCCAACUUUCAUGAAAAUUGCCGAAACGCUCCAAAUCAAGGGUCUGACAACCCCUUCGUCGUCGUCGUCAAAAAGUCCCGCGAUGCAUUCGUUAUCUCAUCAUCGUCGUUCGCCGCUUGCCCAUAUGUCGGCGUCACAAUCGCAGCCGCAACACUUGCCAAACAAGAAUAUCAGCUCGUGCGACAGCAAUUUGUCGUCGCCGCAACCUCCGUCGUCGUACAUCGCGACAAAUAACAACAACAACAACCAAAGUGUGAAACUCGAAACGCCGGGCUCCAGUCAAAAACGCGAUUACGGCGCAAAUAACGCAGCAGCGGAUGCGUAUUAUGCCAAAGCAGCAAAAAUUGCCAAACGAUCUGUGGGAAGUAGCGAUGUGACGGAAAAUAGUAAUGGGCCUGAGAUGAACGAUUCGAUGGAUAAUAUGGGAGAUGAUGUGUUUAUGCCGCCAAUUCCGCAGAUAAGUAUGAGCGAAGGAGGGCGAUUUGACUUGAAUAACGUGAAACGAGAGAAUCCCGAGAGUGCAGCAAGUCCCGCGCCGCGUCAACAAUACUAUGAGCAGUACAAUAAUGCAACAAGUGGCGCAAGCAGCAGUAGCGGAUACACGCCGAGCAAGGAAUAUGCAAACGAUAUGCACGAUUUUGGCAAUAACAAAGGGCAUCAUAUGGAAAUUCCGCCGGGCAUCAACAACAUUACGAUGCUCUCGUCGACGUCUCUCUUGCACGGCAAUUGCAUUUUCAAUCGAAACAACACCGUGGCGACGCAACAAGGCAUGAAAACUUACUGGCUUUGCAAAUCGUAUCGCAUCACGAUGUGUCGAGCACGUUGCAUCACGCAUCAAGGACGUGUUAUCUCAGCGACGGGCGUUCAUAAUCACUCGCCACACAUGAAAAAUGGCCCGGGCAGCGAAAAUACCGAUCCAAAUCAACCGCCGCCGCAACCAAUUGUGAUAUCAUCAUCUGCUGUUGCCGUUUCUCUUCCUCCGCCGCCUUCGGCAAUUCAAUCGUCGUCUCUUGCAUCACGAAUUUCUACCUCAAUGGCACAUCAUGGGCCUCCGCCGCCGCCCAAUUCGCAAUUUCCGCCGCCAAAUAUGCCGCAAAGUCAUCAUUUACCGAUUUCCGCUGUGCCUGGCAUGCCUCCGAAUCAUCAACAUCCGCACAUGACACAUUCUUCGCAUCCGCCAUCGUCUCAAGGAAUGCCUCCGAUGUUAAAUCCGCCGCCCAUGCAUCCCGCCAUUCAUCAACAAAUGCAUCCGCAUCACUUGCUGACGAACAUUCAUCCGCCCCCGAGUUUGCAAAUUACGCCUGUCGUCAAUAACGGAGCGAGGAUGGCGCCUCCUUUGUCGCAGCCCUUGAUGCAAACGAUGCAAAAUGCGACGCAGCACGAUUCGCCGUCGCCAAAUAACAAUCACCAAAGCCUUAUGCCGCAAAACGCGUUGCAAAGUCACAACGAAGACAGUCAAACGACGAUGAGUGACGGGCAUGCAGGACAUGAACAAGAGAAUAUGCAACAGAUGCAAAUGGAGAUGACAAAUUCGCAGCAGCAGCAACAACAACAAAUGGCGAAUAAUUACAAAAUGGAGCACGGAAUGUAGUUUUAUGGCAAAAAGCUUGCUUGUUGUUGAUAAUUUGUUGAUUUUUGACAAAAAUUUUGUGAAAAACGAUUUUUUUUCACAAAAUUAGGUUGAAGCAAUGAGGAAAAAUUCAAAAAAAAAUCUUGUUAAAUGUUAAUUUAUUACUUUUUUCGUUCAUAUUUUGUUCCUCGAUGAGCUUUUACCGCAAGAGCUCGACUUAUUUUCUUUCCGGCAAAAGUAUUUAAGUAAGUGUUAACUAUUUAGAUUUAGUUAUUUAUUAAUUUUGGGCCUCAUUUGCAUGCAAAAAAUGAUUUUAUGGAAGAAAAAUCUGUAUUUAAGGCUAAAAAAUAAAGAAAAAAAAAACAAAAAGGUAAAAAAUUCAAUUUUUAAUGUAAAAUUCACGCAUAAAAGGGUUUGUAUUGUAUCGAAGGUGCAUGAAAUUUGUUUGUAUUGUCCUCAAAUUU